UACGUAGGGGGCGAGCGUUGUUCGGAUUCAUUGGGCGUAAAGGGUGCGUAGGCGGCGCGGUAAGUCGGGUGUGAAAUCUUGGAGCUUAACUCCGAAACUGCAUUCGAUACUGCCGUGCUUGAGGACUGGAGAGGAGACUGGAAUUUACGGUGUAGCGGUGAAAUGCGUAGAUAUCGUAAGGAAGACCAGUGGCGAAGGCGGGUCUCUGGACAGUUCCUGACGCUGAGGCACGAAGGUCAGGGGAGCAAACGGG
rnacentral:rRNA from 1 species